AUAAUCCGUACGCCGAAUUUCGAUAUGAAAACGGGGGAACCAUUAUUUUGGGGUGAAUUUCGCUUUAUCCAUAGCGAAUAGGGCAACCUGUGCAUGCCCGAAUCCGUCAGCUAACCUCGUAGGCGUUAUGCAGCAGGAAC
rnacentral:sRNA from 2 species